rnacentral:misc_RNA from 1 species
UUUCCGUAGGUGAACCUGCGGAAGGAUCAUUAACGUAUCUCCGGCGGUGGGCGUCGCUCCACGCUCCGGCCCCAAAAGGCCGUGCAGCGGGACCGCGUCCCCGUCCAACCUUUGCAAACCCCCUGUGCACAUUCACGGCGGAGGGCCGACGGGCGAGAGCCCCGAAGCCCGAAGCCGCAUCACCAAACCCCAAGUUUAAAAAGAAUGAACUGCGGCCGCGUGUCGCCUAACAAUUGAACAACUUUCAACAACGGAUCUCUUGGCUCUC